CGGCAAGUCAUCCUUGGCUCA
rnacentral:snRNA from 1 species